rnacentral:lncRNA from 1 species
CACAACACUGGGGCAGAUGAGAGCUGAGACGCAGAGCCCUUCUGAGAAGCAGCACAGGCUAGCUGGGAACCAGGAAUUUCCUUGACGAAACAGACCAGAGGGAAGCCUUGGGAUCUUGGGGCAGUGACGAGGAAAACCUCAGGGUUGGAGGAAGGAGGGGCCUAGAGGCUGCUAUUAAAAGAAUAAGGAAAAUGCUCUGUAGAGUUAGUAAAAGAUUAACACAGUUCCCCCCAAUGUCGUACGAUCCCAGAGCAUUGCCAAAUACCCUUGGCAUCUCGUGGGAUGAAGUAUGAAGAGAGGUGGGAAGUUGGGGGACAGGGGUCAGGAAAAUGAAGAUCCCACAUCUGAAAGGGGCGAAAGGGUUACUGUUUUGUGAAGUUGAACCCAAGCAUUGCAGGCCUGAAGGAAUGGGAAGAGCUAAGGGCCGGGGAGCCAGCCUGCAGCGGAGGGAAGUGUGCACUUACACUGAUUUAUUGCAGGAGCAAGGAAGGCUUGAAAUGUGCUUCUGGCCACAAGACAAGACAGAUGCCCCUCUGCCAUGUGCCACUAUGCCUUGGAGCCAGCCAAGAUUGAAACUUCUAUGAAUCAGACUCCUGCAGUAAGGCUCUAGUCCCCACCUGCAUGACACAAGGUUGAAGAAAAACUUAAGACAGAGUUAAAGAGAACGUCUGAACUGGGAUGCCCAAUGCUCCUUUGCAAUGGGAAUGGAAUCCAAGGACACUUGACCACUGAGAUAUAUCCUCAUUCCUUUUUAAAAUUUUAAAAAUUUAAGAUACAGUCUCACUAAGCUGGCCGGGCUAGCCUCAAACUUGGAAUUCUCCUGCCUCAGUCUCCCAAGUAGCUAGGAUCACAAGUGCACACCAUAGUACCUAGCUAUAUAGUAUUAUGUCAUUUUAUAAAAGGGACUUGAACCCUGGCAGAUUUUGGUAUCCUCAGGGGUCCUGGAACCAGUUCACCUUGGAUAUUGAAAGAGAGAGUUAGUAUACAUUAACAUCCUGGACCUAACUACAGUGGUCAAGACAUCCUCUACAUGAGAUCAUAAGGGCAAUAGAGUACUAUGAUAAGCACCUAAAAUAUCAAAAAAGGGCCAAGUCAUGUUCCAAAUACCCUACUAAACAAAGCAAAGAAGAAUGUAUAUAGCUUUGAGAGCCCAUCAGAAUGAUUUCAAUUUAAACUUGGCACCCAAAGAUUAAACUUUUUAACACCUUAGAACAAUUCAUCCUUCUGGGGUGCUAAACAACUGAGAUUUUUAUCAUACAGCCUCAAAAUAGCUAAGGAAGAGAUUCUAAAUCAGGUUGAUGUCCUCCUUUUUUUUUUCUUAGUUAUUAUGUAAGGGAACAACUACACUUUAGAACCUUAUACAUAAAUCAGCCUCCAUUUAAUGGCCCCUGGGCCAGCGUUCUUCUGGUGUCAAAUAUGGGGCUCCAGUUCACUCCCAAAGGGAGAGGUGCCCAGCUCUGCUUUAACCUAGAAAUCUCCACUUGAAUCCUCCCCUCUGAGAAAAUCUGGCCUCUUGGAUGACCUGCAGUUAUCCUGGGAACUGGGUUGCCAAAACAAAAGUGCCAUGCCUGAUGUACUAAUGAAUUCAUGGAAAUGCCUAAUGAAAUAAGGUUAUAAGGAGGCAUUGGAAAAGUUUUUCUCUCUUUUCUUAAAAAAGCUGGCCUUUCUUUUUGUGAGUAUAUGUACAUACACACACACACACACACACACACACACAUUUUCCAAAUGCCCUAAAUUAGUUCAGGUUCUGGCCUGACUUUUGCUUUUCUCCUUCUGAGAUCCAAUUUCCUUUCUCAAAAUUCAGGGGGUUUUAUUGGCCUUACUUACAUGGCAUUCCAUAUGUUUGACAUAUUAUAGUAUCUUCUCUCUUCUUCUAGAAUGAAAGCAUCUUCAGGCAGGGUCCGUGUCUUCUUCCUUUUAAAUCUUUUAUCUCCCCAAACAUCUAGAAUCCACAAUGCCUUUCCCACUCUCAACAAAUGUUUAUUGUUUUCACUUACUCCUGUAAUAGUAAUAAUAAUAAUAGUAUAACACAUAUUUAGCACUUACUAUGUGCCAGGCAUCAUUCUAGGUACUUCAUAUGUAUUAAUUUAUUCAAUCCUCCCAACAACCCUAAUAUUAUACAGAUGGGGAAACUGUUGCACAAGUUGAUCGAGUAACUUUCCCCAGGUCAUGGAGCCAAUAAGUUAUCACUGAGCUGAGAUUUGAAGCCAAUCUGUAUAGGUGUAUCAGUCAGUAUUUACUAGAGAAAAAGAUAUAACACAAAAUAUACAAAAAUAGAUGAAUUUACAAGAUUGGCUUACAAUGGCCUCCUACAGAGUCACAUGAGGAAGAAUGCAGAGGAUCUGUCUGAACACUGGAGUCCAAAGGAUUUAGCUGAAGGUCUGCAGUGUCCUUCAACUCACUGCAGUGUCCUGUACAAGUCCAUAUCAGGAGGCCAAUGGGUCUGCAAUGGAAGGCUGAUGAAUCUAUGCUGGAAGGCUGAAGGAUCCUAGCCAGAAGCUGAAGAGACUGCCCAGGAAGCCAGGAGAUGACAUCCAAGGUGAAGGCAAAGACUGGAGCUCCUCUGAAGAAAUAGAAGCACAAGUCUCCUUCCUCCUUCCUCAUUUCCCCUUGAUACCAUCCAGGCAACAAGCUGCCCUAGGGUGCAGAAUUGCUGAGCUGAUUUAGUUAAACUUCUCUUAACUAAACUUCUCAAGCUGACACAAUCAGUCAUCACAGUUGGCUCUACUGACCAUCUUCCAAACCACUUGGCUAUACUGCCUGGCCCAGUGUACAGAGGACCCAGAUAUGACUUAUCAGUUUAGUCCUCCCACACCUGUCCUUUGCUGUCACAGCAACAGAACAACUGGCUGGGAUAUAAAACAGUUACCACUUUCUAACAGGACUUGUCUGUAGCUGUAAUUGCAUCACAAAUGAGCUCCAUGGUUAUUGUCCUCACCCAAGCAGUCCUCACACAUCUGCAAAGCCUCGGGUGAACAAGAUGUGGUUAAAAGGUAGGGUAAAAUUUAUUACAGCAAAAGACACAUUGCCGGGCUGGGGAUUUAUCUCAGUGGUUCUGCCGCCUGCCUCACAAAUGCAAGGUCCCGAGUUCGAUCCCUGGUACCAAAAAAAAAAUGCCAUUAAUCCCUCUUGAAAUACUUCCCCUCAUUUUGAACACACUUAUUCCAUUGUUCUUGCCACUUUCUAAGCAGUUCUGGAAGUCCUCUUUCAUAAGUGUCAUAACAAGAUGUCAUCGAAAAUACAGUGGGUGCUGCUGCUGAGUGACACCUGAUGAGAAGGCAGUCUCAUGAAAACAGUACGGUGUGUCCUUAUCCACUUUAUUCACCCGACCUGGCCCUAUGGGGCUUCUGAAUCUUCCUCAAAGUAAAAAUUACUGUGACAAGUAAAUGUUUUGAAUCGAGUGAAGACAUCAAGGCAGCCUUGAUAACACAACUAAAGACACAAAAGAGGACUUCCAGAACUGCUUCAGAAAGUGGAAAAAAUGAUGAGAUGAGUGUGUUCAAAGCAAGAGAGUAUUUUAAGGGAGAUUAAUGGCAGUGUGUUUUUUUACCGUCAAAGUCUUUUUUAAAGUUACAUAUCAUCCUAGUUUUCAAUCACACCUUAUAUGUUGAAGAUAUAACAAGGAGGAAGGAGCUCCAUUUUAGUCCUUUCCACAUUUGAGAUCCAGGGAGAAAAGGGCAAAACUUGUAACACUGAUAAAAAAGCAAGGACGUGUUCCCAACCUCUGCCCCAGAUCACUUCUUUCUCAUUUUUCAGCUGUCAAGACUUGGGCCACAGGGCAGUUUUCCUACUGUGGGCUUGUGAGUCUGGGUCUAUCCCAAAGGCCUUGCAAAUCUCUAUGUGGAGCACACCAGAAGCACAGUGCUUGAAAGUUACUCUUUGACUUGCACUAUGGAGCUGAGACAAGGGAUUAGUAGUCUGGCUCAACAAGUCAGUCUAGAGGAGCCUCUAGCUUAAAGCCAUCUCCUCUGAGGAUUCUGAAGGUUUCCUAGAGCACUGUUCCUCAUACCUUAAUAUGCAUAGAAAUACUUGGGAAUCUCAUUAAAAUGGAAAUCGUGGUUCAAUAAGUCAAGGUGAGUCUAAAUUCUGCCUUUCUAUCAAGCUCCUAGGGGAUGCUAAUGCUGUGGUCCAUGAACAACACUUUAGCAUCAAAGGACUGGACUAGCUGAAUUUGUUCCAUGCACUUAGCUGUUUUAGAGAUUGAGGCUCCAGGUGUAGAAACAGCCUUAGGGUUCAGAUUUGAAGGUGUUAGUAGCAGUGAUGGUGGCGCAGGCGAUGGCGCUGACAAUGGCAGCAGUGGCUCUAGUGUGGCAAGAACGGCAGUGCUAAUGCUGCUGAAGUUGGUGGUUAUAGUAUUGGUGGAGAUGCUGGUGGGAGGGGAUGUGGUGGAGGUAAAAGUGGUAAUGAUGGUAGUGGCUGGGUGUGUGGAUUGGGACGAUGCGGGAGCUGGGGGUGGUAAUCACAGCGGGAUUGAUGGAGGUGGUGGUCAUGGUGCUGGGUGAAGAUGAGGAUGGUGACUGAACUGUGCUGGUGGUGAUGACUGGGUUAGUAGUGAGGAGAUGGGUGGCGGCGCUGGUGGCAGUGGUGAUGGCAGUGAGAGUGACAGCGGAAGCAGGGGUUGUUAUGGUGAUCGUGAUGGUGUGAGGGCAGUGGUGGUGAUGGAGAGGGCCACAGGGGUGGUGCUCAUUAGCAUCACACCAUGUACAGCUCGUGUUAUUCAAAGCACUUUUUCACAUAUCUUCUAAGAGAACAGGAUUCUGAGUCAGAAGAAUGA